GAUGAACGCUGGCGGCGUGCCUAAUACAUGCAAGUCGAGCGAAUGGAUUAAGAGCUUGCUCUUAUGAAGUUAGCGGCGGACGGGUGAGUAACACGUGGGUAACCUGCCCAUAAGACUGGGAUAACUCCGGGAAACCGGGGCUAAUACCGGAUAACAUUUUGAACCGCAUGGUUCGAAAUUGAAAGGCGGCUUCGGCUGUCACUUAUGGAUGGACCCGCGUCGCAUUAGCUAGUUGGUGAGGUAACGGCUCACCAAGGCAACGAUGCGUAGCCGGCCUGAGGGGGGGAUCAGCCGCAAUGGGACGGAGACACGGCCCAGACUCCUGCGGGAGGCAGCAGUAGGGAAUCUUCCGCAAUGGACGAAAGUCUGACGGAGCAACGCCUGGUGAGUGAUGAAGGCUUUCGGGUCGUAAAACUCUGUUGUUAGGGAAGAACAAGUGCUAGUUGAAUAAGCUGGCACCUUGACGGUACCUAACCAGAAAGCCACGGCUAACUACGUGCCAGCCGCCGCGGUAA
rnacentral:rRNA from 1 species